rnacentral:lncRNA from 1 species
AAAAAAAAAAAUUAUUUUUUUUAUUGAUAUAUCUCAUCAUGAUUAAUAAAAAAUUAUUUUUAUUAUAAUUUUCUUUCAAAUUGAGAGAUAUGAUUAACUUGUUACUGAUUAUGUGAUGUAAGUGUGACAGUAUAGACUUUCUCCCUUAUUAUAGUCUUUUACUUAGGGGUGCGUUUUGUUCAGCAUAAAUAAAUUAAAAAAAUUAUUUUUAAUAUAUAAAAAUAAUUUUUUAUUUGUUUAAUGGGAAAACUUCAUUUAAAGUGUAUCAAGUUAGUAUCCUGUAGCUUUAUAUUUGUAUCAAGUUAGUACCAUGUAGUUUUUAAACCACAUGGUACUAAAGUGAAAAAAUGCGAAACCACAUGGUACUUAAGUGAAAAAGUGCGAAACCACAGGUACUACCUUAAUACACUUUAAACCAUAGGGUACUAAAGUGAAAAAAUGCAAAACUACAAUGUACUAAUUUAAUAUACUUUAAACCACAGAGUACUAAAGUGAGAAAAAGUGAAACCACAUGGGGAGUAUUUGAAGUUUUUCCCUGUUUAAUUUGAUGUAAAAAUAAAUUUUUGUAAAAAUUAUUUUAUGGAUUUGAAGAAAAAUUAAAUUUUUUAUUUUUUGUUAUUUUUCGAUGGAAAACUAAACUCAAAUUACAUAAAAUUUUUUUAUUUAUCUUUAUCUAACCAAAUAAAUGUAUAUAUUUUUUCUUUCAAUCAAACUAUUUAUAAAUUGAUAAAUUUUUUUUUCUAUUAAUUAAAAAAUAUAAAAUAUAAAAUUUUUUAUAAUUUUUUUUUACGAAAAAUUAUAUUUUA